CAGGGAAUAGUUGCUGGACAGGUUCCCAAGCAGAUUACACUGCGCUCGAUAACAGCGUAAUAGGUGCUGAUAGAAUAUGUGACUGCACUUUCGACGGUGAUGUCAAUUUGUCGGUGACUCUGAAGUCAUCUCAUGUACGUUCAGGCACAGUAGAGGAGACUGAGCCUCUGCCUUCCUCUCAGGACCCUGCUGUGAAAACGCUCAGGAAGCACAAGGUGGAGCUCAUCGACUGCCUAAGUGCGGAUCACUCCUUCAUUCUGCAGCAUGUUGAUGCCAAAGAUAUUGUCACACGCAUUCAGUAUCAAAAUCUGAUGUCUAUCCCAUCGCCAGGAGAAACUGUCACCAAACUGAUCGAUCAAAUUAUUAACAAAGGUCCAAAAUCCUGCUCUCACUUCGUUGAACUUCUCAAAGAUCCUGAACUUCACAACACCUACCCACUGCUCAGAGAAAUAACUGAACACUGGUGCUGAGCAGUGUUGAAUUCAGCAGCUCAGGUAAUUUUCCUGAACAGAAUAUUGAGUUAUAUAUUUUCUAAAUCUGCUCCUCCUUUUUUUAGAUGCACAUGGGACAGAUCAUGUACCACACAUUGGCUGAGGUCGAAUACUCUUUUUUUUUUUUUUUUUUUUUUUUCUUAGUAAGGUUCCAGACUGAGUGAAAUGUUCUGGAAGAAUCAAAGCGUCAGCCGUUUGAAUUCUCCAAAUGUUCAGGAAAGGGGCUUCAGUGCUUCCUGUCUUAUCUCCUUUAGCAUACGCUACACUGGUCCGUCCGUUAUGAGAGGAAAAGAGAAUGCCGUCCCAUGAUUCCCUGCAGCAGCAGCGUUUAAAGCGAUGCACCGUGGCAGACCCACAUGAACCUGGAAACAACAGAGCACUUAUUUUAUGUUUGUGACAGAUCCAAAACUUCUGGAAAUCCUUCAUGAUUGGCUGAGCU